rnacentral:misc_RNA from 1 species
CGGGGCAAGUCCGCACGACCUCCUCGCCCGCGUGAAACGCGACCUGGAGCGGCGCGGCUACGCCCUUCCCCAAGCCCUGAAGGAGGAGCCCGAGCAGUGCACGCGGUGCGGCGGCCUCAUGCACGACCGGGAUCACGAGCUCAGCUCGGAUGCGGUGUGCCGCUGCGGGGGACGCAUGCGGCGCCUCAGGGGCUACCUCGACGCGGUCGAUCCUGGAGGGCGCAUGACGCUGGACUCCCUCAACACCUCCGAGCCCACGCUCGCGGCGGCGCUCAGGGAGGCGCGCGGGAUCA